CACGGGGUGCUGCGCGUCAUCCUGGAGCCCCUCAUCGGGGACAUGCCCAUCGUGGGGGCCCUGACCAUGUUCUUCAUCCGCCGUCCCACUCUGGACAUUAACUGGACGGGGAUGACCAACCUCCUGGACAUCCCAGGGCUCAGCUCCCUGUCGGACUCAAUGAUCAUGGACUCCAUCGCGGCUUUCCUGGUGCUGCCCAACCGCCUGCUGGUGCCCCUGGUGCCCGACCUGCACGACGUGGCCCAGCUCCGCUCCCCGCUGC